AGACCAGCAGGGGGAGAGGGGACUGGACUAGCAGGGGACCGGCGGGAGGGCUGUGGAAUUUAGGCUGAGGGGAGGCCACUGAAUCUCCCAGGCACCUGCCACCAUGGAAAUCCAUGUUGGGGGAACUGUAAAAGCAGUAGAGGCCAGACGCGCUGGCUCACACCUGUAAUCCCAGCACCUGGGGAGGCCGAGGAGGGCGGAUCACCUGAGGUCAGGAAUUCGAGACCAGCCUGAUCAACAUGGGGCUGACACAGAAGAGGGUACCUGCGGAGGCAAAUGGAAGAAAGAGCCCAACAGGUGGAAUCAUAUUAGAGAGUCUUGAACGCCAAGAUGAGGCAAGCUUUUCAUUCGAGGGUACAUGAAGACUCAGGCCCCACCCAUGGAGGGUAGAACACACAUUUGCUGAAGACUUUAUGUGCUGGGCUGAUUCAACUGGGCUGGAUUCCAGGCCCAUCACUGACUAUGCUUCUGUCAUUUCAACGGAGAGAAGAGGAAAUGAGGAUAAGUUCCAGAGGGAUGCAAGGGUGAAGUGCACUCACAAAG